rnacentral:lncRNA from 1 species
GGCUCGGUGUUGCAAUCUGUCAUAUACAGAAAAUAUCCUCUAAACUCAGGUAACAAGUUUGGAGGAAGCCAGCAGAGCUGAGCAGGGUUUCGCUGAGGUCAGGAGCUGAGGGCACAGUGCUCCCAGUGCCUCGAGCAUCCCUGGCUGGGGUUGCUCCUUUUUCAGGAGCAGGUGCCAGUGCCUCCAGGACAGACCCUAUGGAUCCAUCACACACAACAUCUGUUUGACAUUUUAAUGUCAUGUUUGUGAAAGCAGCUAAAUGGGAAACUUCGAAGCCUCGGCAUGUUUAGCUUGGCCUCCUGCAUUCUGUGACAUGAAAGCCUUGGCUAUAAAUACAUCGUCCCGUCUCCAAAGCCCUUGUCGUGUUUUCCUGCUUCGUCCUCCCGGGGAAUGUCGGGUGAGGGAGUGCAAGGUCCCGCUCCCACUGCAGCUGCUGGAAUCCUUGCACUCUGAGAUGCUCCCCAUGGCCCCCACCUUGCUCCACUGAUCAUAAAAACACAGAGUUACUAAGGCAGCCCGUAAAGCUACUUCUGCCUGCU